rnacentral:ncRNA from 1 species
CAGAUGGCAAUGAAAGAAUAAGUACUUCGGGUACGUGCCCAGAGAGCUGACGUUGGUGCGAGUCAGCCACUACCCCCGGAGGAAAAUGGUUCUGGAGCCAUAGUAGUUGCGAGCUGCGGUUAGCGACUUCCGGGAGCGCCCGUUAACGCGCUAAGGUAUCGCGUCAUGAAGACUGACGCCGUACCUAACGAGUGGCUAGUAGUGAUGCUAACCAAAAAACGGGUGGUAACACGAGUAAUCGUCCCGGAG